rnacentral:lncRNA from 1 species
ACUGACAGAAUGAGCUUCCACGGCCCAGGAGACAAUGGAAUCUCACUCUGUCGCCCAGGCUGGAGUGCAGUGGCCCAAUCUCAGCUCACUGCAGCCUCCGCUUCCCAGGUUCAAGCGAUUCUCCUGCCUCAGCCUUCCAGGCAGCUGGGAUUACAGAUUAGUAAUUUUCCCAAGACCCUCCAAACAGAACCAAAACUCCUCAAAAGCGGAGCCAAGCACAGCUGUGGACCUUGUGGUAUACCCCAAGAUGCUCAGCCCAGAGCCCCCAACCCCUGCUCAGCUGUGUGACCUGGCCUGAAUCUCUCUGGGCCCCAUCUGUCCAAUCUGCAUCUGCCAACUUGCCACAGUCCCUGGACAACCUCUCACCCAAUCCUUCCCAGUCAGCCUUGCUAUUCCCUCCGGGCUCCAUACCUGUUUCCUGUACCUCCCACCUGUAUUUCCUGUAUCCUGCCCCAAGUUACAGCACUGAAACCCUC